rnacentral:rRNA from 1 species
GAUGAAUGCUGGCGGCGUGCCUAACACAUGCAAGUCGAGCGGCAGCGAGUUUUACACUGAAUUCUGGAAGCUUCUGAGUAGUACAGAAGAUUUAUUCAAGAGUUUUGUGUAAAAUGUCGGCGAGCGGCGGACGGCUGAGUAACGCGUAGGAAUUUGCCCCAAAGUGAGGAAUAACUGCCCGAAAGGGUAGCUAAUGCCGCAUAUGGUCUUCGGAUUAAAGCCUUCGGGCGCUUUGGGAGAAGCCUGCGUUGGAUUAGGUAGUUGGUAGGGUAAUGGCCUACCAAGCCGACGAUCCAUAGCUGGUCUGAGAGGAUGAUCAGCCAGACUGGAACUGAGACACGGUCCAGACUCCUACGGGAGGCAGCAGUGAGGAAUCUUCCACAAUGGGCGAAAGCCUGAUGGAGCAACGCAGCGUGAAGGAUGAAGGACUUCGGGUUGUAAACUUCUUUUAUGAGUGAAGAAUAUGACGGUAACUCAUGAAUAAGCACCGGCUAACUACGUG